GCUUUCCUGCGGUGUUUGUCCGGCUUUUAUAUUCCUUGAACCGAUAAGCUUGCAUCGGUCGCCGGCAUUCCAGUCGUCUGUUGUGCGCGUUCCUUUGUCGAACGCACCUGAAGGCGGCAAGCUGGUGACACUUGAACCCCAGGGUUCAGGAUGCUAAGCCGGACGGCACUCGCGGGAAGCCC
rnacentral:other from 1 species